AUGUGAAGCGCCUUCGACGAGUCGAGUUGUKUGGGAAUGCAGCUCAAAAUGGGUGGUUAAAUUUCAUCUAAAGCUAAAUAUUGGCCAGAGACCGAUAGCGCACAAGUAGAGUGAUCGAAAGAUGAAAAGCACUUUGGAAAGAGAGUUAAAAAGCAUGUGAAAUUGUUGAAAGGGAAGCGCUUGCAACCAGACUUGCCCCCGGGUGCUCAACCGGCGUUUUCGCCGGUGCACUCGCCCGGGGUCAGGCCAGCAUCGGUUCCGGCGGCCGGAGAAAGACCCUUGGAAUGUAGCUCCCCUCGGGGAGUGUUAUAGCCAGGGGUGUAAUGCGGCCUGCCGGGACCGAGGAACGCGCUUCGGCUCGGAUGCUGGCGUAAUGGUUGUAAGCGACCCGUCUUGAAACACGGACCAAGGAGUCUAACAUCUAUGCGAGUGUUUGGGUGUCAAACCCAUACGCGGAAUGAAAGUGAACGGAGGUGGGAGCCCUCGGGCGCACCAUCGACCGAUCCUGAUGUCUUCGGAUGGAUUUGAGUAAGAGCAUAGCUGUUGGGACCCGAAAGAUGGUGAACUAUGCCUGAAUAGGGUGAAGCCAGAGGAAACUCUGGUGGAGGCUCGCAGCGGUUCUGACGUGCAAAUCGAUCGUCAAAUUUGGGUAUAGGGGCGAAAGACUAAUCGAACCAUUCGGACUA
rnacentral:rRNA from 1 species